UAAGAGCCUUGGGUAGCGCCGUGUAGAGCCUCUGGCAGAGCCUCAUCGGGGUCCCGGCUGUGGUGAGGGCGCUGCUGAAGCGCGAAAUCAGUGAAGAGGUUCAAAGGCUAAUGAGAAGAGGAUGGGAAAGGAAGCUGACAGAUGGAUGGACAGACAGCAUGACUGUGUCUUCUAGCACAGAUACAUCUGGAACAUGUAGCAAUCUUCGGAAAGGCUGAAUAAAGCUGGAGAUGUUCAUUGCCAAGGUGCUCAUCUCUUCUUGUGCACUGUCCCUUGGAGUGUGACUUGUGCAGUCUCCAGAGGGAACUCAGACUGCUGCACACUCGGGAAAGCCCCUCUGCUCCUCAGGAACCUGCUACCUCUGCUUUCUGGAGUUGCCUGGUCAGUGGCUUAGCUAGUCAUGGCUUUUGGCUUCUCUUCUGCCAUCUAUCACGAGUUCCUGGGCGGUCCAGCUCAGUGAAUGCAUCCGUCUGUAAAAUAACCAUUCGGGUAGAAACAAACUGUAAUGCUUGAGUGCUUUCUGUGUGCUUUUGCAUACAGAUUGUUGAAAAGUCAACAUCUUUAGUAUUUCCUACUGCCUUCCUGUAUUUUUUUUUUCCUGCUGGAAGAGGGUGUGGCACCAAUAAAAGCUAUGACAAAA